AGUGAACGCUGGCGGUAGGCCUAACACAUGCAAGUCGAACGGCAGCACAGUAAGAGCUUGCUCUUACGGGUGGCGAGUGGCGGACGGGUGAGGAAUACAUCGGAAUCUACUUUUUCGUGGGGGAUAACGUAGGGAAACUUACGCUAAUACCGCAUACGACCUACGGGUGAAAGCAGGGGAUCUUCGGACCUUGCGCGAUUGAAUGAGCCGAUGUCGGAUUAGCUAGUUGGCGGGGUAAAGGCCCACCAAGGCGACGAUCCGUAGCUGGUCUGAGAGGAUGAUCAGCCACACUGGAACUAAGACACGGUCCAGACUCCUACGGGAGGCAGCAGUGGGGAAUAUUGGACAAUGGGCGCAAGCCUGAUCCAGCCAUACCGCGUGGGUGAAGAAGGCCUUCGGGUUGUAAAGCCCUUUUGUUGGGAAAGAAAAGCAGCAGGUUAAUACCCCGCUGCUCUGACGGUACCCAAAGAAUAAGCACCGGCUAACUUCGUG
rnacentral:rRNA from 1 species